AACUGAAAGGAGGAGCUGUGUGCGCGCCUGCGCCCUUACAUCUGCAGAGCAUUUGGUGUGAAGCUACACAGAUUUUUCCGCGUCAAAUUUUCCUUGUAUUUUGAAGAUCAAUGGACAACUUUGUCAUUAACACUUUGACAGACCUUGUGACUUGUCAAAAGAUUUAACAUUAGAGCCCCUCAGCCAGAUAGAGACCUACAAAGGACCAAGUGGAUUAGGGACAACAAUUGGACCAUCGAUCAGAUCCAUGAUUGCACGGGACUUUCUUGUCCUACAUGGGGAUGCUGCAUCAAAGUUGUCUGAAACUUGGCUACCCAUUUAUGCUGAGAAGAUCCUGUACCUGUAAGACAGGAGGGGAAGCUGACAUUGCCCCUGGAUGGAUUAACACCAGAUGGUGUUGGGGAACUCGCCCUGAGGCAGUUGCCAGCCUUGCUUCUACCUACAAUUUACAAAGUUGGCCACGGUGUGAAAGUAGUUCGCCUCACCAUACAGGAAUGCAGCUUGGCCUUCAUCAACCAUAAGCCUCCUGGAAUAAACAUGGUGGAGGUCCUUCAUGAGGUCAAGGCGUGCAAGUCAUACCCCCACAUCCUGACCCUGGGAAAUGAUCAGAGUGUGUUUCAGGCCUUCGGCUAAAAUGGUUAAGUUUAUUCAAACUAGAAUUCUUGCUUGCAAGUAGAGCUAAUGGCUCUUAAAAGCAGCAAUUAGGAAUUUGAAUGUAUUCACUAUAGAUCUGCUGUUGGUCUGUUGAAUGUUCAGCCACAGUUCAGUCGAAAUUGUUGUUUUGCUCUGAAUGUUUGAACUGAAUCAUUUCUACUUUAUUGUUGAUAUUAAUGUAAUAAUUUUUUUCAAACAUUCCAUUGCUUUGUUUUUUUAUUGUUUAAGUGUUUAUUGCAUAAUAUGCAUAAAUCUAGCAUGUAUUCGGUUCUAGGUUUGUAGUUUCACAGUUUUAUAUGGGUCGUCUAUUGCAGUUUAUUUUCCUAUUGAAAGUGAAAGUGAAGUGACAUUCAGCCAAGUAUGGUGACCCAUACUCAGAAUUUGUGCUCUGCAUUUAACCCAUCCGAAAUGCACACACACAGAGCAGUGAA